rnacentral:rRNA from 1 species
AGAACGAACGCUGGCGGCAUGCCUAACACAUGCAAGUCGAACGCUCUUGGUUUCGGCCAAGGGAGUGGCGCACGGGUGAGUAACGCGUGGGAACCUGCCCUGGAGUGGGGGAUAACCGAGGGAAACCUCGGCUAAUACCGCAUACGACCUGAGGGUGAAAGAUUUAUCGCUCUAGGAGGGGCCCGCGUCGGAUUAGCUAGUUGGUGAGGUAACGGCCCACCAAGGCUAUGAUCCGUAGCUGGUCUGAGAGGAUGAUCAGCCACACUGGGACUGAGACACGGCCCAGACUCCUACGGGAGGCAGCAGUGGGGAAUAUUGGACAAUGGGCGCAAGCCUGAUCCAGCAAUGCCGCGUGAGUGAUGAAGGCCUUAGGGUUGUAAAGCUCUUUCACACGCGACGAUGACGACGGUAGCGUGAGAAGAAGCCCGGCUAACUUCGUGCCAGCAGCCGC